rnacentral:rRNA from 1 species
UUAACACAUGCGAGUCCAGGGGCAGCGUGAACUUAGCUUGCUAAGUUGGAUGGCGACCGGCGCACGGGUGAGUAACACGUAUCCAACCUGCCGAUGACUCGGGGAUAGCCUUUCUAAAGAAAGAUUACUACCCGAUGGCAUAUUUCUUCCGCAUGGUACAACUAUUAAAGAAUUUCGGUCAUCGAUGGGGAUGCGUUCCAUUAUGUUGUUGGCGGGGUAACGGCCCACCAAGCCUUCUAUGGAUAGGGGUUCUGAGAGGAAGGUCCCCCACAUUGGAACUGACACACGGUCCACACUCCUACGGGAGGCAGCUGUGAGGAAUAUUGGACAAUGGACCAGAGUCUGAACCACCCAAGUAGCGUGAAGGAUGACUGCCCUAUGGGUUGUAAACUUCUUUUAUACGGGAAUAAAGUGAGGCACGUGUGCCUUUUUGUAUGUACCGUAUGAAUAAGGAUCGGCUAACUCCGUGCCGUGCCCCGCGGUAAUACAGAAGAUCCGAGCGUUCUCCGGAUUUAUUGGGUUUAAAGGGAGCGUACGCCGACUCUUAAGUCACCUGUGAAAGUUUGCUGAUCAUCCGUCAAAUUGCAGUUGAUACUGGGUGUCUUGAGUACAGUAGAGGCAGGCGGAAUUUGUGGUGUAGCGGUGAAAUGCUUAGAUAUCACGAAGAACUCCGAUUGCGAAGGCAGCUUGCUGGACUGUAACUGACGCUGAUGCUCGAAAGUGUGGGUAUCAAACAGGAUUAGAUUCCAUGGUAGUCCACACAGUAAUCGAUGAAUACUUGCUGUCUGCGAUAUACAGUAAGCGCACAAGCGAAAGCGUUAAGUAUUCCACCUGGGGAGUACGCCGGUAACGGUGAAUCUCAAAGGAAUUGACGGGGGCCCGCACAAGCGGAGGAACAUGUGGUUUAAUUUGAUGAUACGCGAGGAACCUUACCCGGGCUUGAAUUGCAAUUGAAUGAUGUGGAGACAUUUCAGCAGCAAGGCAGUUGUGAAGGUGAUGCAUGGUUGUCGUCAGCUCGUGCCGUGAGGUGUUGGUUUAAGUGCCAUAACGAGCGCAUACCCUUAUCGAUAGUUACCAUCAGGUUAUUCUGGGGACUCUGUCGAGACUGCGGUUGUAAGAUGUGAGGAAGGUGGGGAUGACGUCAUAUCAGCACGGGCUUUACGUCCGGGGGUACACACGUGUUACAAUGGGGGGUACAGAAGGCAGAUACACGGUGACGUGAUGCUAAUCCCGAAAGCCUCUCUCAGUUCGGAUUGGAGUCGCACCCCGACUCCAUGAAGCUGGAUUCGCUAGUAAUUGCGCAUCAGCCACGGCGCGGUGAAUCAGUUUCCGGGCCUUGUACUCACCGCCUGUCAAGCCAUGAAAGCCGGGGGUACCUGAAGUGAGUA